UCAAUCUCUCUAAAGCUCUCUUUCAAUCUUUCUAGUGCAAGUGCUUAAUUUAUUGUUGCAAAUUCGUGAAAAAUUGUGAAGUUGUUGAAUUGAAGUUUUCAAGUGUUCAAGUUCAAGGAUUUUCAAUUUUCAAGAAGUUGUUCGUCAAUCCGGUAAACUCGUUUCAACUCUUACGUGCUAAUAGUAUUUUUUUGUGUUGUUGGUUUGCUUAAUUAUAA
rnacentral:lncRNA from 1 species